UGAAUAGGAAACAACAGGAAAAAAAAGCAACAAAAAAAAUCUAUAUAAUAUAUUCUAGUUUUCGGUUAAGUUUAUAUUAAAUUUAGAUAUUUAAUAGUUAAAUUUUGCAUAAUUAGGCUUAAGCACAAAGUGGAUAAAAGAGCAUUCUGAAGACACAUCAGCAAGAACACAGUUGGUGAUUCGACAAAAAGAGAGUAUACACCGACACAGUAUGGGCAAUAGAGAGGGGCAAGAAACAGAGGUCAGUGAGGUAGGGCAUUUUCAGUGACGCCGAGAUGAGAGAGGCAACGGACUUGACGUAUGAAAGCAGCGAUCGGUGAAGAAUUUCUAGGAUUGACUAUAUGUAGGACACAGAGACAUAGACAGACGAAUUGCAUCAAAAUUCGAAUGGCAUCAAUAAAAACCCGAGGGCGCCAGCAAAUUGAAAAAUGAAUUGCUAUGCCCUGAGAGCUGUCCUAGCUGGAGGAGGGACUGCUGGAGGAGAGCCUAAGAUCCUGACUGGCUGAUGGCUUUCUCCUACCCAUUUAUUUAACAUUUGGCUUA